rnacentral:rRNA from 1 species
GAUGAACGCUGGCGGCGUGCCUAAUACAUGCAAGUCGAGCGAACAGACGAGGAGCUUGCUCCUCUGACGUUAGCGGCGGACGGGUGAGUAACACGUGGAUAACCUACCUAUAAGACUGGGAUAACUUCGGGAAACCGGAGCUAAUACCGGAUAAUAUAUUGAACCGCAUGGUUCAAUAGUGAAAGACGGUUUUGCUGUCACUUAUAGAUGGAUCCGCGCCGCAUUAGCUAGUUGGUAAGGUAACGGCUUACCAAGGCAACGAUGCGUAGCCGACCUGAGAGGGUGAUCGGCCACACUGGAACUGAGACACGGUCCAGACUCCUACGGGAGGCAGCAGUAGGGAAUCUUCCGCAAUGGGCGAAAGCCUGACGGAGCAACGCCGCGUGAGUGAUGAAGGUCUUCGGAUCGUAAAACUCUGUUAUUAGGGAAGAACAAAUGUGUAAGUAACUAUGCAGGUCUUGACGGUACCUAAUCAGAAAGCCACGGCUAACUACGUG